rnacentral:lncRNA from 1 species
UUCGGUAUUUGAAGUUUCGUUUCAGAAAGUAUAAUUUAAAAAAGAAAAUGAGACACUUAUUUAAUUCUCAACUUAAAAAGCUAAAAUGAAAAACGUAAAACAAUUGUUUUUUCAUUUUGUCCUUUCGCACAUCAGAAACGAAAAACCCAAGAAAAAAGAACGAGAAAGGGCCCUUUAUUUAUUUUGUCUGAACCGGAAGUUUUAGUAGGUCAACAACCUGUACAAGUGAUGCGCAAACUUAUGGCAAACACUGUAGUGUGGACAUCAUGACGUUGGAAAAAUACUCAGACGUGAUCAUGGAGAUGGCAAAACAAGGCCUGUCAUCGGAAAUUAUAUCAGAGCGUCUGUCAUAUGAACACGGGGAAGUGAGAGGAUUUUCUGCGAGAAAUGUUAGAAAGUUUUGUGCUGAGCAAAUCACUAGCUGUCGACUCUCGGAACACGGUUGGAGCUUGAGGUGACACAAGCUAUAAAUGAGGUGGGCCCAACAUAUGGCCGCAAAAUGAUGAAGGGCUAUCUGUCCACAAAAGGGGUACAUGCUGCAGAGGGACGAAUUGGGUCAAUUUUAAGAGAGGUGCAUCAACCUUAUCAUGAAGCAAGACGCCAGGGAGCUCGGAAUCUUAAUCCCACACCGUACCAUGCUGAAUGCAUGGGGCACAAGGUUCACCUGGACCAAAACGAGAAACUUGUAAUGUUUGGAGUCACCCAUGUUUUAGCUGUAGAUGGAUUCAGUAAAAAGAUUGUGAGUCAUUCACAAUGCCAAUCAAAAACAACUUGAGCAUCUAUGAAUAUGUUUUCAGACCUGCAGUGAUCACCUAUGGUAUGUGGGACCAGGUGCGAGUAGACCAUGGAAAGGAAUUUUAUUUAACACUGUUCAUGCAAGAGAUGCUGUCACAUCAUCGCUUCAAUCAGGAGAGACUGCCUUAUUUACAGACCUCAUCCACAAGAAACCACACAGUUGAAAGGAUUUGGCCUGAAAUCAACAACCGUGUCAACUACCCACUAAAAACUGCCCUACUCCAGCUGAUGGACCAGGAGGAGAUAGAUAUGGAGGAUAACCUUGUGCGAUACUGUGUGUCCAAUCUAACCUGUCAGCUGUGUAACAUUGGUCUUGCAAGUGUGGUAGAAUCAUGGAAUGCUCAUAGAAUCCCAGGAAAAGGCAUACCAAAUCACUUUGCAGAACAUGGGUGUAAAAGAAGAAUUUCUCCAGAGCUCUUGCCAAAUGCACUUGAAGCAGCAGACCUUUACAGGCAGCACUUGGGAUCUGCACUCAAAGAAUAUUCGACUUUUGGAGUUGAUCCCUUCACAACCGAACAGGACAAACUUAGAACAGAGAGUCAUUUUGCAGAAAAAUAUCCUGAUAUUUCACAUUUGUUUUUUAGAGCCGUAAAUGGUGACUUUAUGCCAUACAAAGAAGCUCUGCUCUGUCUCAUAAACAUAACUCAGAGAAAUGUAUGAACCACUGCAUCUGUAAACUGUACAGAACAGACAAAAAAAAAAUCAACUGACUGUAAACAUUUGUGUGUACACACUACAUUACUCCUCUGCAAAAAAAGAUUUCAAUACAGAAAAUGCAGCUGUUAGACCAGUAAUGUAGAACUCCGUUGUUACUCUCCCUGCAUUUUGCACAGUGCUGUGAUGUCUCUUGCCACUGUUCCACACAUGUCUUGCAGCCAAUAAUGCUUCUGCAGCACAGUGAGAACACUGGAUCCUCAAAUGAUGUCUGCAAAAGUAAAUCAGAUAAGUGAGACUGUUAUCCAUUUAUG